rnacentral:lncRNA from 1 species
CAACUCAGCGGAGAGCUGGAACUAGAAACUUUCUGUCAGUGUAACGUCCGCGUGGGUGGUGACCCAAUGAUGGUUGGGCUUCGGGUCACGUGACAGCCUCAUUGUAGCUCCGGAAGAGAACGUGAAGUUUAGGUUGCCUGGAAGAAGCAGUAAUAAGGAGACUGAAAGGGAGAACAAAAAAAAUCAAGAUUUUGGGGAAAUUACCCACAGAGAUGCAAGUGCUGGAACCCUGGGAACCCUGGGAUUGAUGUGGUCCCGUCUCCAACCUGCUGUGGAUUCCUUUCCAAGGGUUGUUGGCAGACAGAUGGAACCAGGCAUGGAGGACUUAAAAGACAGCCCCUGGGGGCGGGGAGGGGGCCU